GAUGAACGCUAGCGGCAGGCUUAACACAUGCAAGUCGAGGGGCAGCACGAGGUAGCAAUACUUUGGUGGCGACCGGCGCACGGGUGCGUAACGCGUAUGCAACCUACCUUUAACAGGGGCAUAACACUGAGAAAUUGGUACUAAUUCCCCAUAACAUUCGAGAAGGCAUCUUCUUGGGUUAAAAACUCCGGUGGUUAAAGAUGGGCAUGCGUUGUAUUACGCGUACGUUAGGUUGGUAGGUAACGGGUAACCGGUCCUACCCAAACCGGAACGGAACCGAACGUAACUAACUAAGGGGGUAACGGGGGUACGUAGGAA
rnacentral:rRNA from 1 species